GGAGAUAGAAGAAUGUCCUUGGAAGGAUGGAUUGUGCUUAGAUAGCUGAAAUAGAACUCAAUGAUUCUAUCGUUCAGAUAAUAUGGACCGCUAAGGAUGUCCAAGUCGGAUUUUCGGAGUACGACAUCGUUGUAACUUAAGAUUUUCUCAUCUCCUUCAGACUUCCCCAUUUUAGAUCGGGUAUCAGUCCUGAGAGACCUACGAAGAUUUCU
rnacentral:misc_RNA from 1 species